rnacentral:rRNA from 1 species
CAGUAGCCACGGGAAUACGUAGGUGGCAAGCGUUGUCCGGAAUUAUUGGGCGUAAAGGGCUCGCAGGCGGUUUCUUAAGUCUGAUGUGAAAGCCCCCGGCUCAACCGGGGAGGGUCAUUGGAAACUGGGAAACUUGAGUGCAGAAGAGGAGAGUGGAAUUCCACGUGUAGCGGUGAAAUGCGUAGAGAUGUGGAGGAACACCAGUGGCGAAGGCGACUCUCUGGUCUGUAACUGACGCUGAGGAGCGAAAGCGUGGGGAGCGAACAGGAUUAGAUACCCCAGUAGUCCCUGUCUCUUAUAA